rnacentral:ncRNA from 1 species
AUGCUUACGUUGAUCAAGAGGAGUAGUAGCGUUUAUUGAUUUUUAGAGAGAAGACCCUUGGCUGUGAGGUUUUUAAUCAAGCGUUAUGAAGGUAGUUUGUGAGUACUUAUCUUGAAAAUAUGUGUAGAGAUAAGCGAGUAGUGAUCGUUAACUCACUUUUGAGAGGUAGUAUUGACUACAAUUUAGGUGGUACCGCGUAAUUUACGUCCUAAUG